CGAUUCUACAUCGAGACCGGUGAUGACAAUGCGGUGCCACUCUCUCUCCAGCAGAGCAUGUGCAAUCUGAAUCCGCCGGAAAAAGUUUUCCAGUUGAAAGGAUCUGAUCACUCGCCGUUCUUCUCGAAGCCUCAGGCUCUGCACAAGCUACUCGUCGAGAUUGCAAGGAUUCCGUUACCCCAACUUGAAUGAGGUUCCAAUUACUCAACUCAGGCAAUACAAUCCUG
rnacentral:misc_RNA from 1 species